rnacentral:lncRNA from 1 species
CUUGGCCAAACAGGGUAUUAGAUAUAUAUCUUAGAAUCCACGUUCUCAAUUCAAAACCACAGCAUCAAAAAUUUGAAUCUGCCUUGUGUGUAUGUGAAUUCCACUAUGUAAUCCAAAAUAAACGUUCACACUCUUGACUAGUAAAUUCAUAUUGCUGCAACUAUCAAUACUCCAAUCUAUUAUUUUGACGAUGGAGACCAUUUUAAACCUCAUUUGGAUAAUAUAGAGAGCAGAUCUAAUAAAUGAAUCAAGAAAACUACAUUGGAGAAAGACCAGUACUGACAUUAUUAAAGAUUGCAAUAUUCUUUGAACAACAGACAGAAUGUCCAUGACCUUAGAUUUUUGGGGCUUAUUGUACAUCCAUAUCAUCUUCUAAAGACAUCUUCCACCAUAACCUGCAGUUUUGAACAAGGUUUGCUUUACGUCUUCAGAGCUCCAAAUUGUUCGAUGACCUUGGCUUGUUGGGACUUAUUGUCCAUCCAUAUCAUUUUCUAAAGACAUCUUCCACCAUAACCUGCUGUUUUGAACAAGGUUUGCUUUACGUCUUCAGAGCUCAAAAUUGUUCGAUGCUCCCUUGCCUAACAAAAUCCAGAGAUGAAAAGGAAAACGUUAAUUAACAUGCUCAAACCACACGGCAGGCACAUGAUAAAAAAAAAAUUGUUAGAGUAAAUCUUCAAUCAAUGAUCUCUCAAUUUCAAAUUAGUUGAGAUCAAUUAUAUGAAUCUUCUAUAUCCG